GACGAACGCUGGCGGCGUGCUUAACACAUGCGAGUCGAACGAAGCACCCUGACUUGCUUCUUCGGAUGAAGAUCUUGGUGACUGAGUGGCGGACGGGUGAGUAACGCGUGGGUAACCUGCCACAUCCAGGGGGAUAACAGUUAGACAUGACUGCUAAUACCGCAUAAGACCACAGCUCCGCAUGUUGCAGGGGUAAAAACUCAGGUGGUGUGGGAUGGACUCGCGUCUGGUUAGGUUGUUGGUGGGGUAAUGGCCUAGCACGGCAAGGAUCGGUAGCCGGCCUGAGAGGGUGACCGGACAGACUGGGACUGAGAUGAGGCCCAGACUCAUACGGGAGGGAGGAGAGGAGAAUAGUAUAUUGUGGGAGGAAGCAUGCUGCAGUACAGCCGCGUGGGGGAAGACGGGAAUCAGUUCGUAAAGUAAUUCUGUAUCAGAAGAAGAGAAAGUGACGGUACCUGACUAAGAAGCACCGGCUAACUACGUG
rnacentral:rRNA from 1 species